rnacentral:tRNA from 1 species
GGAGAGUUGGCCGAGUCGGCUGAAGGCGCUCGCCUGCUAAGCGAGUAAGGGGUUACAACCCCUUCGAGGGUUCGAAUCCCUCACUCUCCGCCA